CGGAGGGUGCGAGCGUUAAUCGGAAUUACUGGGCGUAAAGCGUGCGCAGGCGGUUUUGUAAGACAGAUGUGAAAUCCCCGGGCUCAACCUGGGACCUGCAUUUGUGACUGCAAGGCUAGAGUACGGUAGAGGGGGAUGGAAUUCCGCGUGUAGCAGUGAAAUGCGUAGAUAUGCGGAGGAACACCGAUGGCGAAGGCAAUCCCCUGGACCUGUACUGACGCUCAUGCACGAAAGCGUGGGGAGCAAACAGGAUUAGAUACUCUGGUAGUCCACGCCCUAAACGAUGUCAACUGGUUGUUGGGUCUUUACUGACUCAGUAACGAAGCUAACGCGUGAAGUUGACCGCCUGGGGAGUACGGCCGCAAGGUUG
rnacentral:rRNA from 1 species